AUUGAACGCUGGCGGCAGGCCUAACACAUGCAAGUCGAGCGGAUGAAGGGAGCUUGCUCCUGGAUUCAGCGGCGGACGGGUGAGUAAUGCCUAGGAAUCUGCCUGGUAGUGGGGGAUAACGUCCGGAAACGGGCGCUAAUACCGCAUACGUCCUGAGGGAGAAAGUGGGGGAUCUUCGGACCUCACGCUAUCAGCUGAGCCUAGGUCGGAUUAGCUAGUUGGUUGGGUAAAGGCCUACCAAGGCGACGAUCCGUAACUGGUCUGAGAGGAUGAUCAGUCACACUGGAACUGAGACACGGCCCAGACUCCUACGGGAGGCAGCAGUGGGGAAUAUUGGAAAAUGGGCGAAAGCCUGAUCAAGCAAUGCCGCGGGGGUGAAGAAGGUCUUCGGAUGGUAAAGCACUUUAAGUUGGGAGGAAGGGGAGUAAGUUAAUACGUUGCUGUUUUGACGUUACCAACAGAAUAAGCACCGGCUAACUUCGUG
rnacentral:rRNA from 1 species